GAGGGCGGCGUGUUCGGCUGCGUGCACCUUGGCGUAGUCGAUUCGCCCAGUAGCCGUGUUGCGGUAGCGCGUGCAGGCGUCAAGGUGAUCCGCGACGGCCUCCAAGUCGACAAAGUUGCCGACAGCAUCGUUGCGUGCAGCUUCUUUCCUCGCCUCGGCCGCUUGUUGCUGUGCAUAUGCCUUGCGGUAUAUCCACGACGUAAACUCCUUGACCGCCA
rnacentral:misc_RNA from 1 species